GGGUUUCAGGAUGUGAACCAGGACGAUGGGUUGGGUAAAGGGCUGGGCUGUUCCCAGGUAUAGUCGGGUGAGGCUGGUGCCAGAUGUCUAUUGUGCACAGUGGGUGAGAGUUUCGAUUAAGCCGCAGGCUACAAGCCAAUCGGGACAACUGAGUCAUAGGCAGUCCAUAAAGUUGGAAACUGGCCUGACUGGGUCAUUAGCAGUCUGGGGGUUGGAGAUCUGGCCUGACCCUU